GAGGUUCGUUUACGCGCCGCUUCGCCGUGCAGGUGGUGGCGAAGCGCUCCUCCGAAAGGUUUCGGAAGCUGGUGGUAGCUCUGAAGAUAACGCUGCGUUAGGGCAUACUGCGGCGGAGGAUGGAACUCCGAUUGAAAGCAGUUGCUGGAGUGGAGCACGAAUUUCAACAAGCCGCAUGUUGAAGUGUGAGGCGUGAAAGGGUAUGUCUGAUAUUUGCUUUAAAAUGCUCCAGCAAAGAAAUUAAGGGAUGGAUGAAGCAAAAGAGCCAGGUAUGGUGGCUCAUGCCUCUAAUCUCAGCACUUUGGGAGGCCGAAGCAGGCAGAUCACCUGAGGUCAGGAGUUUGAGACCAUCCUGACCAACAUGGUGAAACUCGUCUCUACUACAAACAUAAAAAAAUUAGCUGGGCGUGGUACCACGCACCUGUAAUCCCAGCUACUCCUCUGGAGGCUCAGACAGGAGAACUGCUUGAACCGGGAGGCGGAGGUUGCAGUGAGCUGAGAUCGCACCAAUCCAUUCCAGCCUGGGCAACAGAGUGAGACUCCAUCUCAUAAAAAAAAAAAAAGUAAAGAAAAAAAAGAAAAUGUCUUUAUUUCAUUUUCUUUCCUAAAGAAUAUAUUUGCUGGAUAAAGGA